rfam:Ophiophagus hannah scaffold3381.1, whole genome shotgun sequence.
UUACUAUUGUACAGAAUGUAUUCUCCAUUUAAUAAUACUGAAAAUAAAUUGUUGCAGAUCA